UCUCCGUAGGUGAACCUGCGGAGGGAUCAUUACUGAGUGAGGGUCUCCGGGCCCGACCUCCAACCCUUUUGUGAACCACCUCGUUGCUUCGGGGCGCACGUGUCCGUUCGCGGCGUGGGGCCCCCGGAGCCCAUCAAACCCUGCGUAACUAAGUCGUCGGAGUUUAAACAAAUUAAACAAAACUUUCAACAACGGAUCUCUUGGUUCGGGCAUCGAUGAAGAACGCGGC
rnacentral:misc_RNA from 1 species